AUGCUGGGAGGGGUCCUGGUGAAGCCAGCAGGAUGCCCAGAGAUGCCCACCCGUGCCCACCUCCACACGCUUGUCCAAGGGAUGCUUCUUCAACAUCAGAGCCAGGGCCAUGCCGUGGGGACCUGCUCUGUCUCUGACCCGCAAGAAGGCUCCUGUUGUUUUCAAACACCGCUUUCAGACCGCAUGGCCCAGACACCUGAUACUGCCAGGCAACUACACAAUUCCCCUAAACCCUCCCCAGCCAGCCCUUCAUUGAGGGAUGGAUGCUUUUAUCUCACCAUUGCACUUGUUAAGGGAACAGGCUCAGAAGGAGAGAUUAUGGUGUCCAGUGGGGAAAAGCUCCUUUCCUCCUGCUGGGAGAAAGCCUCUCCUUUUCUCUGGGAUGAUGUCCGUGCAGCAGCCCCAGGAAAGGCCCCACACGGCCACCGAGCCAGUCCCCAGGAGGUGGCAGCAACCAGCAAGGAGGAGCAUCCACAGGCCAGACCUCAUGGGACCAGGGCUUGUCCCUGCUCCCAGAGCCACCCCAAGCGAGCAGANNNNNNNNNNNNNNNNNNNNUGCUGGGAGGGGUCCUGGUGAAGCCAGCAGGAUGCCCAGAGAUGCCCAGCCGUGCCCACCUCCACACACUUGGCCAAGGGAUGCUUCUUCAACAUCAGAGCCAGGGCCAUGCCGUGGGGACCUGCUCUGCCUCUGACCCGCAAGAAGGCUCCUGUUGUUUUCAAACACCGCUUUCAGACCGCAUGGCCCAGACACCUGAUACUGCCAGGCAACUACACAAUUCCCCUAAACCCUCCCCAGCCAGCCCUUCAUUGAGGGAUGGAUGCUUUUAUCUCACCAUUGCACUUGUUAAGGGAGCAGGCUCAGAAGGAGAGAUUAUGGUGUCCAGUGGGGAAAAGCUCCUUUCCUCCUGCUGGGAGAAAGCCUCUCCUUUUCUCUGGGAUGAUGUCCGUGCAGCAGCCCCAGGAAAGGCCCCACGAGGCCACCGAGCCAGUCCCCAGGAGGUGGCAGCAACCAGCAAGGAGGAGCAUCCACAGGCCAGACCUCAUGGGACCAGGGCUUGUCCCUGCCCCCAGAGCCACCCCAAGCGAGCAGAUCAUCCCUACGAGCCAGGAGACCAAGAGCAGGUUUAA
rnacentral:lncRNA from 1 species